GGAGAGGUGGCAGAGUGGUAAUGCAGCAGCCUGCUAAGCUGUGAUCUCAUUGGGAUCCCCGAGUUCGAGUCUCGGUCUCUCCG
rnacentral:tRNA from 1 species